rnacentral:siRNA from 1 species
UAUGCUGCCAUCUUGAGAUUGU